UCCCAUGCCAAGCGCGGCGCUCCGGGCUGCAGCGGCACGCUCCCCUCCCGCUCCGGCCCGGGACAAUAAACAUUGCCGGGCUGUCACUGCUGCCUCUCCCCUGCUGACAUUCAAUCAUUACGGUAUCUUAAGAACGUUUAAAUAGGUCAGGUUUUUAAUGGGAGAGCUUGGCUUCUGGGAGUGAGACUGACAGCCUUUUGAGAGCAGAUUAACAGCGCUGAUAAAUCAAUCUCAGACUGACUCACAGCCAUAAGAAAAAUAAGAAGAAGAAAAGGGAGCCUCGUUAAAUAAAUGGUCUCAGUCUUCGGCUCUGGAGAUGUACCGGAGGAGGGAAAGAAGGCUUUUGUCAUAUGCCUCGUCACUCUUCUUUCUCCAAAUUUGACCACAUCCCCCACUCUACCAAUGUCCUCUGUUGGAAGUUUUCCGUCUCCAGUGAUCUUGCCUGCCCAUCUCACCCUGCUCAUCAGGUCAGAGAUUAAUGGAAAAAUUAUGAAGGAGACGGAACAAAAAAAAUAUCAGAUCAUACACCUGAGGCUUCUUGCACAAAGCCAAAGUAUCUACUACGUAUGUAGGUAUAUGCAUUUCAGUCUCACCCAAUGGUCUAGAAAAGAAAAGGGAAAGAAAAUAUUAACAUAUCCAGUAUGAUGAUGCAAAGCUAGAUCGCUAUAAAAAUGCUGAACAGGAAUGGAACACUGGGCCCCUUUGAAGCUUCACUUUAAACACCAGUAGCUCAGCAGCAUGAAAACACUAAAGAACUCAUUUGACAAGACCACCAGCCCAGCUGAGUGACUCAUUUUCAUCAAAACUCACUCAGCAGAAAACCUUGGAUUUGGAUCUACGCAGCAUGUCCCACAGCAGCUUCUCACCAGCAGGUUCAUGUAUUCAAAUCUCUUCCCCAACAGAGCAUUUGGGAACAAUCUUGGUUGAAAAUCUGUUUACCACUCUGUGGGUGUACACUGUUAUUCAUCUCACCUUUCCAGAUGCCCUUCUGCAGGUCUGGUGGCUGUGCCUUGCUUCUGCUAGAGAAGAGAGUGAGAUCCUAACAAUAACUCCUGCAACAAGGGCAACAAAAUAACAUUUUUGUUUAUAUAGCUAUAGAAAAAUGUAUAUCAUGUUUUAAAAAUCAACCUGAUGUUUUUCUGAGGAUCCAAACUCACAGCAGGAGACUAGCUAAAAAAUUUAACACAGAACUUUGAGAAAAAUAUAGGCUAUUUUUGGGUGUGAAAAUGUGCAAUAUUAACAAAAAAAAGAGAGAAAAAAAAGAUAAAAGAAAAGGAAGCUGUGUUUUUUGAGUUGGAUCAUUCUGCCUCUUGCCUGUUAAGCAAUGCAGUCCUGGUAGACUCUAGUUCUUCUUGUACUGCAGUUGAUGGACAGGGAUUUUCCAUAGCGGAAACAUCUCCCCUGUUGUCAUCACUCAAAUGUGCACCAGAACCACAGAGAAGGAACUGCAGUUCUAAAGUCCAGGUGAUUUCCAUUGGAUUGCCAGCAUGGCCUUCAGACCUACCUUUACCCAUUACUGACACACCUUCAUACUUCAAGAUAUGCAAGACAUCAUGAUCAGAAGGAAAAUGAGAUUAAAUAAAUGGUGUGAUGCCGAAAUUACUGUCACCUUUCUAGGAAAGGGAAACUGAGGCAAAGGAAGUUCCUAUUUAAAAAUGUCUGUGUGGAGACUGAACGAGAGGCACCAGCUGGGGUUCCUGUACAAGAUUUCUGUCCUUCUGGAGGAGCAGAGUGAUAUUUUAAGAGCAGAGCCACUGGAGAAGCAUAAGACAGCCAGCAGCCACCAAACUCUAAAGAGGCUGGCACCAGGUUUGCCUGACUGAAGCCUUGCACAAAGCAGCCCAUUCCACACAGAUUUGGCUUUUAAUAUGGGUUAGGGCAUUUUUUUUUUUCACUAAAGGGAGAACAUAUACAAAGAAAUUCUGGAGGGAUUCUACCAGCACCAAAUGUUCUCUGGGGUUCUCCCUCAUUCCCAGCAGCAGGCAAGGUCUCAGUGGCAUGAGGGACAUUUCAAGCAGAAACAUGCAAGCCAUUCAACCAUUAAGCCAUUUAACCUUUCAAGACUAAAGCUAAGUGACACAGCUAAUCCCCCAGUGAAAGUGUGUGUUCUCUGUCUCUGCCAUAAGAGUGACAUCCCAGCCACUGCAGAAGAAUGGUGGUAAAUUGCAUUAUUUCCAGUCUCAUGGUGGAACUAGUUAAAAUUUUUUGGGCUGUACUCUAGAUGUAACAUUAAAUACAGCCACUGCUAAUAACUUAGCUUAAUUAUUAGCUGAUUUAUUAAUCUACAUGCAGGCAGAAGAUUUCAAUUAUUUUUAAUUAUAUGGAAAGUUCCAAGUGUCUUUUUUUAUUCCAUUAAGAUCGUUCAAAACUCUGUAAAACCUGCAAGCGCUUAAUUCUUUAAAUGACAGUUUUUAAUUAAUUUGAACUCAGGCUAAUUAAAAUAUUUGUAGAUUGCAACAACCUAAUUCAUUUUUAAAAGGCAAGCUUUUACAUCUGCAGCAAAUAUGCUCUAUUUUCCAUUGGGAUUAAAGAUCCUGCCCCUGUUUGAAGUGCAAAACCCUCUUCAGCCUUAACAGUGGAAUUACAAGUGACAGCAGGCAAUAGAAGCGCUCCAUCGGCUUGGGCUGUGUGCUACAAAUCACCUCCUGAGCGUUCCCAAGUUCACUGCUCCCACUUGCAUGAAAAUCUGGGCACUGGAGACAGGAACAAGAGUUUCAGCAAGCCUUUGGUGGUAACAGCCUUGGCUUAACCCCUCACAUAUCAAAUACCUCUUUGUGUAGCACUGGGUAAAGGGAAAAACCAAUGGCCGCCUCUGACAUCCACCCUGCAACAAAAUUUGCUAGGUACCCCCCAGAAACUCUAGCUUCAGUGGGUAGUUUCAAAAAGGAAAGGCAAAGGGCUUUAAAUUUGUAAGCCACAAAAAUAAGGCUGUGGUUGUGCUACAGAUGUCUCACCAAUCACAACUACUUUUGUCUUCUCUGGUGAUUUCUAAUGUCAUUUGACAAAGGGGAGGUGGCUCCGAUGACAGCCCAACAAAUCAGUAGCUGGCUGCAGGAUGGACUAUGAAGCCAACACAGUUAGGAGUUGUUUUUGUCAUAUUAUGUAUUCCAGAGCCCAGGCUUGCUAGCACCUCCAUAACUUCCAAACCAGAAUCAUGACUUGCCAUUUCCACCCCAGGAACAGAGGAGAAACCCCAUUGAUGGAAAGCUGCAGGAUGUGAUUGGACCAGGUCCUGUACAAUCCCACCUGGGCUCCCUUUCCCAUGAAAGGGUGAACCAGAGGAUCUUCCCAGGUCCCUUCCUACCUGGGCUGUGCUAUAAUCACUAGGGGCACAGAAAAGAAGAAACUUUUCUGUAGAACAAAACAAAGGCUUAAGGAGGACAAAGGACCUGAUCCCAUGGUGCAUAGAUUUUGCUGCUUUCAGUCUGUGCUGCUUUAAAGGCAUGAAAGUCACCGAGUCCUUGACUGGCAUGAGCCAAGUUGGAUUUUCAUCACAACACCUUCACACAGCUGCUGGCUAUGAGCUUCCUUCAUAUACAAAUAUAGCUAAUGUAUACA